rnacentral:precursor_RNA from 1 species
ACUGUGUGCAGUUCUUGGCUACAGGCCAUUACUGUUGCUAAUAUGCAACUCUGUUGAAUAUAAAUUGGAAUUGCACUUUAGCAAUGGUGAUGGAUUGUUAAGCCAAUGACAGAAUUUAAA